UAGGGAAUAUUGGACAAUGGGCGCAAGCCUGAUCCAGCCAUGCCGCGUGAGUGAUGAAAGCCCUAUGGUUGUAAAGCUCUUUCACCGGUGAAGAUAAUGACGUUAACCGGAUAAGAAGCCCCGGCUAACUUCGUGCCAGCAGCCGCGGUAAUACGAAGGGUGCUAGCGUUGUUCGGAUUUACUGGGCGUAAAGCGCACGUAGGCGGACUUUUAAGUCAGGGGUGAAAUCCCGGGGCUCAACCCCGGAACUGCCUUUGAUACUGGAAGUCUUGAGUAUGGUAGAGGUGAGUGGAAUUCCGAGUGUAGAGGUGAAAUUCGUAGAUAUUCGGAGGAACACCAGUGGCGAAGGCGGCUCACUGGACCAUUACUGACGCUGAGGUGCGAAAGCGUGGGGAGCAAACAGG
rnacentral:rRNA from 1 species